UACGGAGGGGGCGAGCGUUAUUCGGAAUCAUUGGGCGUAAAGGGCGCGUAGGCGGCCCCGUAAGUCUUGGGUGAAAGCCCUCGGCUCAACCGUGGAGGGUCAUUGGAAACUGGGGGACUUGAGUGCAGAAGAGGAAAGUGGAAUUCCAAGUGUAGCGGUGAAAUUCGUAGAUAUUCGCAAGAACACCAGUGGCGAAGGCGGCUCACUGGCCCGGUACUGACGCUGAGGUGCGAAAGCGUGGGGAGCAAACAGG
rnacentral:rRNA from 1 species